GAGCUGCCCUAUGAAGGACUGU
rnacentral:miRNA from 1 species